CAAUAGCGUAUAUUUAAGUUGUUGCAGUUAAAAAGCUCGUAGUUGGAUUUCGGGUGGGACGCAGCGGUCUCGCAUUGCGUUUGUACUGCUGCAGCCCUCCCUCUUGCCGGGGGCGGCCUCUCGGACUUCACUGUCUGGGGGUCAGAAUCGGCGAUGUUACUUUGAGUAAAUUAGAGUGUUCAAAGCAAGCUUACGCUCUGAAUAUAAUAGCAUGGGAUAACACGACAGGACUCUGGCCUAUCGUGUUGGUCUAUAGGACCAGAGUAAUGAUUAAGAGGGACAGUCGGGGGCAUUCGUAUUCCGUUGUCAGAGGUGAAAUUCUUGGAUUUACGGAAGACGAACAUCUGCGAAAGCAUUUGCCAAGGAUGUUUNCAUUG
rnacentral:rRNA from 1 species